rnacentral:rRNA from 1 species
UUCCGGUUGAUCCUGCCGGAGGCUACCGCUAUUGGAGUUCGAUUAAGCCAUGCGAGUCGAGAGCUUUCGGAGCUCGGCAUACCGCUCAGUAACACGUGGGUAACCUGCCCUAUGCUGGGGAAUAACCUCGAGAAAUUGAGAACAAUGCCCCAUAGUCCACUACGCCUGGAACGGUGAGUGGAUCAAAGCUCCGGCGGCAUAGGAUGGGCCUGCGCCGUAUCAGGUUGUAGGGGGUGUAACGUACCCUCUAGCCAUCAACGCGUACGGGUGUUGGGAGACAUUGCCCGGAGAUGGAUUCUGAGACACGAAUCCAGACCCUACGGGGUGCAGCAGGCGCGAAAACUUGGCAAUGCGAGAAAUCGUGACCAGGGAACUCCAAGUGCAUCGGGUAAGACCGAUGCUUUUCUUGACUCUUCAAAGGUCUUGGAAUAAGGGGUGGGUAAGGACGGUGCCAGCCGCCGCGGUAAUACCGGCGCCUCAAGUGGUAGUCGCUUUUAUUGGGCCUAAAACGUCCGUAGCCGGUUUGGUACAUUCGUGGGUAAAUCAACCCGCUCAACGGGUUGAAUUCUGCGAGCACGGCCAGACUUGGGACCGGGAGAGGUGUGGGGUACUCUCUGGGUAGGGGUAAAAUCCUGUAAUCCAGAGAGGACCACCUGUUGCGAAGGCGCCACACUAGAACGGAUCCGACGGUCAGGGACGAAACCUAGGGGCACGAACCGGAUUAGAUACCCGGGUAGUCCUAGGUGUAAACGCUGUGGACUUGAUGUUGGGAGCGCUCCGAGCGCCCUCAGUGUCGUAGCGAAGGUGAUAAGUCCACUGCCUGGGGAGUACGGUCGCAAGGCUGAAACUUAAAGGAAUUGGCGGGGGAGCACUGCAACCUGAGGAUUGUGCGGUUUAAUUGGAUUCAACGCCGGA